rnacentral:tRNA from 1 species
AGUUAAUGAACUUGUAUAAGUAUAUAUUUUGAAAGUAUAAAAAAGGUUUAUAACAGCCUAUUAGCUU